rnacentral:rRNA from 1 species
AGAGUUUGAUCCUGGCUCAGGACGAACGCUGGCGGCGUGCUUAACACAUGCAAGUCGAACGGAAAGGCCUCAGCUUGCUGGGGUACUCGAGUGGCGGACGGGUGAGUAACACGUGGGUGAUCUGCCUUGCACUUCGGGAUAAGCUUGGGAAACUGGGUCUAAUACCGGAUAGGACAGCUGUUUAGUGUCGGUUGUGGAAAGUUUUUUCGGUGCAAGAUGAGCUCGCGGCCUAUCAGCUUGUUGGUGGGGUAAUGGCCUACCAAGGCGUCGACGGGUAGCCGGCCUGAGAGGGUGGACGGCCACAUUGGGACUGAGAUACGGCCCAGACUCCUACGGGAGGCAGCAGUGGGGAAUAUUGCACAAUGGGCGGAAGCCUGAUGCAGCGACGCCGCGUGGGGGAUGAAGGCCUUCGGGUUGUAAACUCCUUUCGACAGGGACGAAGCUUUUGUGACGGUACCUGUAUAAGAAGCACCGGCUAACUACGUGCCAGCAGCCGCGGUAAUACGUAGGGUGCGAGCGUUGUCCGGAAUUACUGGGCGUAAAGAGCUCGUAGGUGGUUUGUCGCGUCGUCUGUGAAAUUCCGGGGCUUAACUUCGGGCGUGCAGGCGAUACGGGCUGACUUGAGUGCUGUAGGGGAGACUGGAAUUCCUGGUGUAGCAGUGAAAUGCGCGAUAUCAGGAGGAACACCGAUGGCGAAGGCAGGUCUCUGGGCAGUAACUGACGCUGAGGAGCGAAAGCAUGGGUAGCGAACAGGAUUAGAUACCCUAGUAGUCC